GCACGCAUAGCUCAGCGGUAGAGCGCUGCAUUCACAUUGCAGAAGUCUCUGGUCCGAAUCCAGAUGCGUGCA
rnacentral:tRNA from 1 species